AUACGGAGGAUCCGAGCGUUAUCCGGAUUUAUUGGGUUUAAAGGGUGCGUAGGUGGUUUGAUAAGUCAGCGGUGAAAGUUUGCAGCUUAACUGUAAAAAUGCCGUUGAAACUGUCGGACUUGAGUGUAAAUGAGGUAGGCGGAAUGCGUGGUGUAGCGGUGAAAUGCAUAGAUAUCACGCAGAACUCCGAUUGCGAAGGCAGCUUACUAAGCUACAACUGACACUGAAGCACGAAAGCGUGGGGAUUAAACAGGAUUAGAUACCCUGGUAGUCCACGCAGUAAACGAUGAUUACUAGCUGUUUGCGAUACACAGUAAGCGGCACAGCGAAAGCGUUAAGUAAUCCAUCUGGGGAGUACGCCGGCAACGGUGAAACUCAAAUGAAUUGGCGGGG
rnacentral:rRNA from 1 species